GCCAGUUGGCCAUCGACAUCCACCUCUUCCCAGAGGUACUGGGUUCGAGUCUUGGGAGUGGCAUAUGUCGCCCAGGGUAAGAACUAGGCAUGGGGAAGUCACCGCGGAGCUAGCUUGGUCGGGUAGCGGCUCCCGGAGUGAGAUCACUUCGGCAGUUGGGAGGACCGUGCACUUACCCCCCUAGUUUUCAUAUAAAGGUGGAUAAAUCAUCAUCAAUGUGACAACCCAACCCGGACAGCUGGCUUGUUAAACGCAAGCAAGCACCAUCUAUAUCUUAUGUUGGACACCAUGUGUUGGAUUCUAGACAUCAAAGGAAACUAACCUGGUGAUUAGAGGUAAUUAGUAGCAUCAAAGCGAUUUUUUUUUUUUUUUGAACGGCUAACAAACUCAAUCCCGAGUACUCUCGGGGCACCCACUGGACAAACGGAGUACUCCGAGAGUAACCCGAGUCCACCACCAAUUCCGGGGAAAACCCGGUAACCCACCCGCCCGUAGGCACGACGGUGAAAUUACCGGUAAAACCCGUUUGGCUCAAGGAUCCAACCCAGGUUUCCCUGGGUCUCCUAUCAUUGCCCACCAAUGCCUCACUCUGCACCAAGUGGGAGUCGAACUUGCAUCUCUCAAGAGAAAUGUAAGCCCUCCACCACUUGAUCUAGAGAUCAUUGGCAGCAUCAAAGCGAUUUAGUUUUGAAAUUCGCUUUAAAAUAUGCUUCUUUUUUAGAAUAAUCAGCUAGGGUUCUUUUAUAGAAUAAUUAAUCAGUUUAUUUUAUAUAGCCUCCUUUUAUAUAAGUGUUGCCGGUAAAAGGAAAGAUUCAGGGGAGGCUAAAAUAGUGAUUCUCGAUGACUCUGCAUCCGCUGGUUCUGAUACGGGGUAUUGGAUUGAUUUUGAUAUAUUUAUGCAAAAAGGAGCUUUAAAG
rnacentral:lncRNA from 1 species